AAGCGGGAAAACUCAAAUUUAAAUCUGGCGGCCAUUUGUCCGUCCGAGUUGUAAACUAGAGAAGUGUACCCUGCACUGGACCGUGUACAAGUCUCCUGGAAGGGAGCAUCAUAGAGGGUGAGAAUCCCGUCUUUGCCACGGACUGCCAGUGCGUUGUGGUGCCCCACUCACCGAGUCGAGUUGUUUGGGAAUCCAGCUCUAAAUGGGUGGUAAAUUCCAUCUAAAGCUAAAUAUUGGCGAGAGACCGAUAGCGACCAAGUACCGUGAGGGAAAGAUGAAAAGAACUUUGGAAAGAGAGUUAACCAGUACGUGAAAUUGUUGAAAGGGAAACGUUUGAAGUCAGCCAUGUUGACUGGGGAUCAAGCAGCCUUAUUAGCUGGGUGUACUUCCUAGUGGACAGGCCAACAUCAGUUUUGACCGUCAGAGAAAGGCCAAUGGAAUGUGGCACCUUUUCGGAGGUGUGUUAUAGCCGUUGGUUGUAUGUGAUGGUUGGGACUGAGGACAGCAGCGUGCCGCAAGGCCGGGUUUCGACCACGAUCACGCUUUGGAUGUUGGCAUAAUGGCUUUAAGCGACCCGUCUUGAAACACGGACCAAGGAGUCUAACAUGCAUGCGAGUGUUUGGGUGGAAAACCCAAGCGCGUAAUGAAAGUAAAAGUUGAGAUCCUCGUUACUGGGGAGCAUCGACACCCGGACCAGAACUUUUGGGACGGCUCCGCGGUAGAGCAAGUAUGUUGGGACCCGAAAGAUGGUGAACUAUGCCUGAAUAGGG
rnacentral:rRNA from 1 species